GGUUAAGCGACUAAGCGUACACGGUGGAUGCCCUGGCAGUCAGAGGCGAUGAAGGACGUGCUAAUCUGCGAUAAGCGUCGGUAAGGUGAUAUGAACCGUUAUAACCGGCGAUUUCCGAAUGGGGAAACCCAGUGUGAUUCGUCACACUAUCAUUAACUGAAUCCAUAGGUUAAUGAGGCGAACCGGGGGAACUGAAACAUCUAAGUACCCCGAGGAAAAGAAAUCAACCGAGAUUCCCCCAGUAGCGGCGAGCGAACGGGGAGCAGCCCAGAGCCUGAAUCAGUGUGUGUGUUAGUGGAAGCGUCUGGAAAGGCGCGCGAUACAGGGUGACAGCCCCGUACACAAAAAUGCACAUAUUGUGAGCUCGAUGAGUAGGGCGGGACACGUGGUAUCCUGUCUGAAUAUGGGGGGACCAUCCUCCAAGGCUAAAUACUCCUGACUGACCGAUAGUGAACCAGUACCGUGAGGGAAAGGCGAAAAGAACCCCGGCGAGGGGAGUGAAAAAGAACCUGAAACCGUGUACGUACAAGCAGUGGGAGCACAGAGCAAUCUGUGUGACUGCGUACCUUUUGUAUAAUGGGUCAGCGACUUAUAUUCUGUAGCAAGGUUAACCGAAUAGGGGAGCCGAAGGGAAACCGAGUCUUAACUGGGCGUUAAGUUGCAGGGUAUAGACCCGAAACCCGGUGAUCUAGCCAUGGGCAGGUUGAAGGUUGGGUAACACUAACUGGAGGACCGAACCGACUAAUGUUGAAAAAUUAGCGGAUGACUUGUGGCUGGGGGUGAAAGGCCAAUCAAACCGGGAGAUAGCUGGUUCUCCCCGAAAGCUAUUUAGGUAGCGCCUCGUGAAUUCAUCUCCGGGGGUAGAGCACUGUUUCGGCAAGGGGGUCAUCCCGACUUACCAACCCGAUGCAAACUGCGAAUACCGGAGAAUGUUAUCACGGGAGACACACGGCGGGUGCUAACGUCCGUCGUGAAGAGGGAAACAACCCAGACCGCCAGCUAAGGUCCCAAAGUCAUGGUUAAGUGGGAAACGAUGUGGGAAGGCCCAGACAGCCAGGAUGUUGGCUUAGAAGCAGCCAUCAUUUAAAGAAAGCGUAAUAGCUCACUGGUCGAGUCGGCCUGCGCGGAAGAUGUAACGGGGCUAAACCAUGCACCGAAGCUGCGGCAGCGACGCUUAUGCGUUGUUGGGUAGGGGAGCGUUCUGUAAGCCUGUGAAGGUGUGCUGUGAGGCAUGCUGGAGGUAUCAGAAGUGCGAAUGCUGACAUAAGUAACGAUAAAGCGGGUGAAAAGCCCGCUCGCCGGAAGACCAAGGGUUCCUGUCCAACGUUAAUCGGGGCAGGGUGAGUCGACCCCUAAGGCGAGGCCGAAAGGCGUAGUCGAUGGGAAACAGGUUAAUAUUCCUGUACUUGGUGUUACUGCGAAGGGGGGACGGAGAAGGCUAUGUUGGCCGGGCGACGGUUGUCCCGGUUUAAGCGUGUAGGCUGGUUUUCCAGGCAAAUCCGGAAAAUCAAGGCUGAGGCGUGAUGACGAGGCACUACGGUGCUGAAGCAACAAAUGCCCUGCUUCCAGGAAAAGCCUCUAAGCAUCAGGUAACAUCAAAUCGUACCCCAAACCGACACAGGUGGUCAGGUAGAGAAUACCAAGGCGCUUGAGAGAACUCGGGUGAAGGAACUAGGCAAAAUGGUGCCGUAACUUCGGGAGAAGGCACGCUGAUAUGUAGGUGAGGUCCCUCGCGGAUGGAGCUGAAAUCAGUCGAAGAUACCAGCUGGCUGCAACUGUUUAUUAAAAACACAGCACUGUGCAAACACGAAAGUGGACGUAUACGGUGUGACGCCUGCCCGGUGCCGGAAGGUUAAUUGAUGGGGUUAGCGGUAACGCGAAGCUCUUGAUCGAAGCCCCGGUAAACGGCGGUACCGUAACUAUAACGGUCCUAAGGUAGCGAAAUUCCUUGUCGGGUAAGUUCCGACCUGCACGAAUGGCGUAAUGAUGGCCAGGCUGUCUCCACCCGAGACUCAGUGAAAUUGAACUCGCUGUGAAGAUGCAGUGUACCCGCGGCAAGACGGAAAGACCCCGUGAACCUUUACUAUAGCUUGACACUGAACAUUGAGCCUUGAUGUGUAGGAUAGGUGGGAGGCUUUGAAGUGUGGACGCCAGUCUGCAUGGAGCCGGCCUUGAAAUACCACCCUUUAAUGUUUGAUGUUCUAACGUUGGCCCCUGAUCGGGGUUGCGGACAGUGUCUGGUGGGUAGUUUGACUGGGGCGGUCUCCUCCUAAAGAGUAACGGAGGAGCACGAAGGUUGGCUAAUCCUGGUCGGACAUCAGGAGGUUAGUGCAAUGGCAUAAGCCAGCUUGACUGCGAGCGUGACGGCGCGAGCAGGUGCGAAAGCAGGUCAUAGUGAUCCGGUGGUUCUGAAUGGAAGGGCCAUCGCUCAACGGAUAAAAGGUACUCCGGGGAUAACAGGCUGAUACCGCCCAAGAGUUCAUAUCGACGGCGGUGUUUGGCACCUCGAUGUCGGCUCAUCACAUCCUGGGGCUGAAGUAGGUCCCAAGGGUAUGGCUGUUCGCCAUUUAAAGUGGUACGCGAGCUGGGUUUAGAACGUCGUGAGACAGUUCGGUCCCUAUCUGCCGUGGGCGCUGGAGAACUGAGGGGGGCUGCUCCUAGUACGAGAGGACCGGAGUGGACGCAUCACUGGUGUUCGGGUUGUCAUGCCAAUGGCACUGCCCGGUAGCUAAAUGCGGAAGAGAUAAGUGCUGAAAGCAUCUAAGCACGAAACUUGCCCCGAGAUGAGUUCUCCCUGACCCUUUAAGGGUCCUGAAGGAACGUUGAAGACGACGACGUUGAUAGGCCGGGUGUGUAAGCGCAGCGAUGCGUUGAGCUAACCGGUACUAAUGAACCGUGAGGCUUAACCUU
rnacentral:rRNA from 1 species